UAUUAGGUUGAUCACCUCAUGGGAUG
rnacentral:piRNA from 1 species